AUAACGUCUAGUCAGACAUCGACCCGGCCCUGGUAGAUCAUCACCCCCAUGUCCUCUGCCCUGAGUCGAGCAAACAGUUAAAUACGUCUAUUUUCACCAAAGAUCACAGGGAACAUGUCAGCAGCCUUCAAGAGGUGUUGCCGAAAGAGUCAGCUUGGCCCCAGCAGACACCCUGGUGUUUGCUCCCAGCUGAGCCCAGAGGCACAAAGAUAACAGAAUAUUAAACGAGGAAAGACUGGACACCGCAACUUCCCCACUGGUUCUGAUUGGAAGACUAAGGGAGAGGUCACAGAAGGUAAAGAGGGCAUCCCUUGAAACAGGAAGAAGAUAACAGUCCUCCUCUGACUGCAACUAAGUGAGGCUGCCGUGGUGGGGGGAGGGAGGGCAGCAGGUGCUCACUGCCCCGUCCAGAUAACAAGUUAAUGAGGAAGGAGACUCAGCUCUCCUCUAUGGCGCAGUCAUGACACAGAGCACACAACGAGAACCACAGGAGUUCCUGCAACUCCAAAGCAUAACUUCCGUGCCACUUUUCUUACAGAGGCCCAGUGAGUAAAGGCUCCUGGGGCAUUGUGGGCUCCCAGACAUCUCGUGCCUUCUAGGCCUGUUUCUGUCAAUACUGUAAUACCAUAGACACAUUUUU
rnacentral:lncRNA from 1 species